UGAGAUAACGACGUGGUAUCGAUCUACCUUUUAGUCGGGGGCUAAGCCCUGGGAAACCGGGGCUAAUACCUGCAUUAAGCCUGUAAGUAAGUGCGAAAGCAUGCAAUGCGCUGAAACGAGGAGUCCUGCGGGCCGAUUAGACUAGUUCGGUGAGGUCAAUCGGGCCACCAAGGCGAUUGAUCGGUAGCCGGCCUGAGAGAGGCACACGGCCACACUGGCACUGAAACACGGGCCAGACUCCUACGGGAGGCAGCAGUGGGGAAUCUUGCGCAAUGGGCGAAAGCCUGACGCAGCG
rnacentral:rRNA from 1 species